GAAUUUUUGUCUCUAUUUUUCACUGAUUUCGCGAUAUCUAAAUAUUUUGUGUCGUCAACAGGAUAUCAUUUAUAUUCGUCUAUUUCUCAUGUUGCUAUAUAGGUUGAGAUUGUGUAAAUCUUUCUUGUGGAAUGAGGAUAUUUUUAAUUCCAAUAAAGUUCUCAUUUGAUGGAAGUUGGCUUUGAUGUGAAGCAGCGAGGAUUGGUUCAAUUUGGAUUUAGCCAUCUUACGUGUCUCAUGUAGAAUAUCAAGCAUUACCUGAUACGUAA